UACGUAGGGUGCGAGCGUUGUCCGGAAUUAUUGGGCGUAAAGAGCUCGUAGGCGGUGUGUCGCGUCGGGCGUGAAAACUUGGGGCUUAACCCUGAGCUUGCGGUCGAUACGGGCAUCACUGGAGUUCGGCAGGGGAGACUGGAAUUCCUGGUGUAGCGGUGAAAUGCGCAGAUAUCAGGAGGAACACCGGUGGCGAAGGCGGGUCUCUGGGCCGAUACUGACGCUGAGGAGCGAAAGCGUGGGGAGCGAACAGG
rnacentral:rRNA from 1 species